GGGAGGCUCAUCAAACCCUAACACUAAUUCAUCCGCUCGACAUGCCUCGUUUGUUUGAUCUAUUUCCAUCGACGAACCCUCGACGACAAAGAAGAUAGAGAUAGGAGAUGUAGUGUUAGAGUUGGUCAUGUUGUUUUCUUUGAUAUGGUUUCGUUUGGAUCAAUCUCGCUAGAUCUUUGACGUGUUGCAACCGACUAUACAUUUGAUGAGGAAUCGCUGCGAAUCUCUUCUAUUUAUUGUUCGACAGAAUGUCCACAAGGAUUUUGCAGCUAAUACCAUUAGAGAUUAGUGACCACAUCACUUAUUCUUAGGUGUGGCAAGGGGCUAGGAAAGGAAGCUGUUGUCAUGAUGAUGGAAUUUGCAGUUGAGAAUAUGGGGAUACAUGUCUUUACAACUAAAAUUGGGGAUUUAAAUUAAGCUUCUCUUCAUAUGUUUCAAAAACUGGGAUUCGAAAAAGUUUCCCACAGUCAUGUUUUCAAAGAGAAAUGACGCUUUCAACUGAGUGUGUCUAACACUCAACAAGGAAAGUAGGUUGGACCAUGUCUCAAAAUAUACAAUAUCAUCAAAGAAAGUAAGUUGUAUCAUGUCUCAAACUAUUGUUAGUUCAUUAUUCAUAAUUACAUGCAUAUUUCCUAAUUUUAAACUAAUAAUUUUGAAUGAUGUCUUGGAAGCCUAAGAACUGAUGUAUUCAUGAAUGUUAAAAUGGAGGUUGAAGCCUCAAGCUCACUUCAAUCGGACAUGUCUUAUAUAGGAGGAAGAUGAGAAUUCUAAAUUGAAUCUCUGUUGCCAUCAAAUCACAUUACGUCGACAAUUGUUGGAUGCCUUGGUGGUGAAGAUGGUGAGUUUAGUUGUUUUGUUAUCCAAAUUAGACUAUAGGAAAAAUAAACUUGGUUUAGUAAUGAUAGCAUUUUUGCUGUAAACAAAGACGAGCAUGAAUGUUGUUUGGUUUUGGCUAGAGAAAGAAAAGGCACACAAA